ensembl:processed_transcript
GAGACUGAGGUUCAAGUCUCAGGUCUUACAGAAUUAUUUAUUCAUUUGUUUAAGUUGACUAUUUGUAGUUGCAGACAUGGUUUUUGCAAGAGCAGUUUGGAUCGAGGGUGAAAAACAUUUUGAAGGGGUGAUCCCAAGAAACUGGAUUGAGGAAGCAAAGAGAAUUGUGAGAUGGCCAAAAGUCCAGGGGCCUCAUUCAGCGUAUAAAAAAAAUUAAAUCAAAUGGAGGACUGGCUGACUUUCCGUGUUAUUAAAAUAAAAAAGACAUCAGGUAUGAUGACAUUCUUAGUAUAUUUGUUUUAUUAAUCUGAAUGUUUUUUGAGGAUCAAUAUUAUGUAAGUCUUUGUUCAUAUCUCUCUUGUGCUUUUUUUCAGUUUGUUAGUAAGUAAUACUUAGGCCCAAACCCAAUUUUACCCCUUAGCCCCUCUACCCCUUGUUUUGUGUUUCACAUGAAGG